ensembl:ncRNA F20B10.7 ncRNA
UACGAAGAAAUCAUCAAAAUGGAGAUACGGGGCGUCGGAAAAGGAAAACUGGUGGAGGGAAAAGCAAUUCGUAAUUCAUCAUCUGAACGUCUCAAUAGUGGCAAAACAAUAACAAUUGGAUGCAAUUACGGGCGGUGCAUUGCUUUUG